AUUAAGUUAUCUGUUACGUACCUGACUCGGCGCAACCCGUCGAUGAUGAGAUCUCGCUGAGACGAUGGACGGCGUCGAGGAUGAUGGUUUCGGUUUGCUGUCUUCGCGAUACAGAUCGGAAUAAUGUGUAGAUAAUAAUUGAAUAAGAAGAAGAAGGAAAAGAAGAGAAAAGAUAGAUUGAGGAAAAGGAUCAGGGGGAAUAGAGAGAAUAAGAGAGAAUAAGAGAGAAGUUAAGAAGACGGAGAAUUUUCAUUAAUCAUCCAUUAAAAAACCCUAGGAGUUACACACUGCCUCAUAUAUAUAAUACGAAUUUGAAUAAAAUAAACCCUAAUUCCUAA
rnacentral:lncRNA from 1 species